AGCAGCAUGGCGCAGUGGGAGCGCGCGGGGCUCAUAACCCCGAGGUCACUUGAUCGAAACAAGUUGCUGCUA